rnacentral:lncRNA from 1 species
GGAGAGAUAGCAGAUAACCUGCGAUUUUUCAUAGAUAAUAACAAAGGGACUACAAUCUGAAACACACAGUAAAACACAAUCUGAAAACCACAAGAGCAGUUUACUCUCUCAGAAGAUAACUUCUUCUGGCCUAGGUAACUACCACAUAAAACUUCCAACAUAAAAACUGACAAUAAAACAGCAGACUAACUUAAAUACAAUCCACACAACAACCAACUUGGAAUUCAAACUAACUAAUAUUAUAUUACUUAAUUACUUUUUUCUCCUUUGAUAAACCCUCCAAAUGACGGGUUUACCCUUCUCCCUAACAUGUAUGCUAUCAUUGCCGCCUCCAAGAGAAACAGUCUUGCCCUCAAGGCUGAAGGAAGGGAAUUGAACUGUAAUGUAGUCCCUAUCUUCCCAAGUAGCUUCCUCAAUAGGCUUGUUCUUCCAAUGGAUAAGAACUUGAGAAAUAGAUGUGCCAUGUCGUACCACAGACCUUUGAUCUAAAACUGCCUCUGGUUCCCACACUGAGUCUUUAGUAACCUCUAAACUAACAGGGAGAGUAGAAUUAACAAUAGCAUCACCAACAGCCUUCUUAAGCAAGGAAACAUGGAAAACAGGAUGGAUCCGAGACGUAAGAGGUAACUCCAACCUGUAAGCAACAGCCCCAACACGUGCAAUCACCUUAAAAGGACCAAAAUACCUUGAGCGGUGAACCACCUCUGUCUGACCAUCGGCCUGAGGGUGGUAAGCAGUACUGGGUUUCAAGAAAGUACCCUACUAUUUAAAGAGUUCCUACCAGAAUCUACUGACAAAGAUGGGAUCUCUGUCACUCACAAUAGACUCUGGAAUUCCAUGAAGUCGGACCACUUCUUUGGUGAAAGUUUCAGCCAAAGUUCUUGCAGAAUAGGGACGCUUAAGAAGAAUGAAAUGAGCAUAUUUAGACAAUCUGUCUACCACGACAAAAAUAGCUUCAAAACCCUUUGAUUUUGGAAGUCCAGUAAUGAAAUCCAUAGAAAUAUCUGCCCACACUUGAUUUGGUAUUGGAAGUGGUUGGAGAAGACCACCGGGUGUUGAAGUUGCAUAUUUGUUGCAUUGACAAACAGUACAGUUUUGCACAAAGUUCUGGAUAUCUUUCUUCAUACCCAUCCAAUACAAAUUAGCAGCCAAACGGCGAUAAGUGCGAUAAAACCCGAAAUUACUGACAAAGAUGGGAUCUCUGUCACUCACAAUAGACUCUGGAAUUCCAUGAAGUCGGACCACUUCUUUGGUGAAAGUUUCAGCCAAAGUUCUUGCAGAAUAGGGACGCUUAAGAAGAAUGAAAUGAGCAUAUUUAGACAAUCUGUCUACCACGACAAAAAUAGCUUCAAAACCCUUUGAUUUUGGAAGUCCAGUAAUGAAAUCCAUAGAAAUAUCUGCCCACACUUGAUUUGGUAUUGGAAGUGGUUGGAGAAGACCACCGGGUGUUGAAGUUGCAUAUUUGUUGCAUUGACAAACAGUACAGUUUUGCACAAAGUUCUGGAUAUCUUUCUUCAUACCCAUCCAAUACAAAUUAGCAGCCAAACGGCGAUAAGUGCGAUAAAACCCGAAAUGCCCACCUUGAGGGGUGCUGUGAAAUUCCUUGAGAAUAGUAGGAAUAAAAGUAGAUGAAGCAGACAUAACUAAUCUGUCCUGAUACAAAAGAACCCCAUGCUGAAGUACAAACCCAGGUUUUGUGGUGUCCCCCUUUUGUAAAGCUGAAAUGAUGGCCUGUAAUGUUGGAUCUUGUUGUACUUCUUCAUGGACAGCCUUAAAAUCUAACCAUUCAGGACGGAAAAUCAUAGAAUUAAGAAUUAACUUGUCAUUUGAAUCAUUAAGGACAGCCACGAUGUUGAUUGGGGAAGUAUCAAAUUGACGGGACAACGCAUCAGCACCCUUAUUCUCAAGUCCAGGUUUAUAGACUACAUCAAAUUGAUACCCCAAAAGCUUAGCCACCCAAUUCUGUUGAUCCAUUGUGGUGAUACGUUGCUGCAUUAAUUGUUUCAGACUUUUUUGAUCGGUACACACCGUGAACUUUGUCCCUAUGAGUUAUGGGCGCCAAUGUUGAAUUGCAAGAGCCACAACCAUUAAUUCUUUUUCAUAUGCCGAUUUGUUCAGAUUACGAUCACUAAGUCCCUUGCUGAAAAAAGCAAUAGGCUUCUUGUCUUGUAUCAAGAUCGCACCCAGCCCAUUACCGGACGCAUCACUCUCAAUGAAAAAUUCUUUGGUGAAGUCAGGCAAAGCUAAAACUGGGGCAGAAGUUACCUUGUGCUUAAGUUCUUCAAAAGCUGCUUGUUCCUUGCCUGCCCACUUAAAACCUUCUUUCUUUGUCAAAUCUGUCAAUGGUCGUGCAAUCUUGCCAUAGUCACAAAUGAACUUUCUAUAAUAUCCCGUCAAACCCAGAAAUCCUCUGACACCCUUGACAUUCUUUGGCACAGACCAUUCUAACACACUGCUGAUUUUUGAUGGAUCCAUAGAAACCCCUUCAUGGGAAAUCACAUGACCCAAAUACUCAAUUGACAAUUGACCAAAAGAACAUUUCUUUUUAUUGGCUACCAAUUGUUGAUCAGCUAGCACACUUAAAACUGAAAUCACAUGCAAAAUAUGGUCUGGCCAAGUCAAACUAUACACCAAAAUGUCGUCAAAAAAAACUAAGACAUACCUCCGCAACAUUGGCUUGAAGACUUCAUUCAUUAAUGCUUGGAAGGUGGAUGGAGCAUUUGUUAAACCAAAAGGCAUCACUAAGAAUUCGUAAUGACCUUCAUGCGUGCGGAAAGCUGUUUUAUGAAUGUCUUCUUGACGCAUGCGUACUUGGUGGUAGCCAGACUUAAGAUCAAUUUUGGAAAAAUAUCGUGCACCAUGUAACUCAUCCAAUAGCUCAUCAAUGACGGGAAUGGGAAAUUUAUCCGGAAUAGUUACCUUAUUCAAAGCACGGUAAUCGAUACACAUCCUCCAAGAGUUAUCCUUCUUCUUGAAUAGAAUAACCGGACUUGAAAAAGCACUCUGGCUAGGUCUGAUCACACCAGACAGCAACAUCUCCUUCACUUGGGCGGUACGGACGAACAUUAAUUGGGCCCUGGCCGGUCAGCAAAGGUAUAGCAUGUUCUUGCUGUCUUUUUGGAGGCAACCCUUGUGGUUCCUUGAAAACUUUAUCAAAGUCCAGUACUGAUUGCAUCUCCAACUGUUGAUUGGGUGUCACCAUAGUUGAUUGAAUAUCACAAUGCAACUGAGCAAAAUGGUUUCCAUCAACAUAAUUUUGUAAUGGAGUGCACUCUAUAGUACGAACCCUUCUGAUCUCAAUCCAUUCUCCCUUGUGUGUGAAACGCAUCUUCUUCUCAACCCAAUCAAUGUAUGUGCAUCCAAUCUGUGUUAGCCAUGGCAUUCCCAAUACUAAAUCAUAACCGCCCAACUCAAACAUCACAAUAUCUAUCUCCCAUUUGACCCCUUGAACAUAAAUAAUAACACCUUUACACUCUCCUAAAGUCGGAACCGCAUAACCAUCACCCAAUCUGAUUUAUCUAGUCGGAGUUUCAGUAAUUCGUAAACCCAAAGCCAAAGCUAGGCGCCUUGACAUGAAGUUUUUGUUUGCUCCACUAUCAACCAACAUCAGCACCGGCAAUGCUCCUACCAUCCCUUGCAACUUGAUACAUUGAAGCUUAUCUUGAUAAUACUCAGUGUUCUUAUCAAAAGUCAAUAUAUUUUCAAAAGACAACACAUUCAAAUGUAAUUCUUCUUCAGCACCUGUUUCCACAUCUUCAUCAUUCAACACUCUGACUUCAUUUUCAUCUUCAGAGUCAUCCUCAAGCACCAUAACACGCAGAUUUUUAUCAGGACAUUGAUGGCGAGGAUGAAACUGUCCUCCACAUUUAAAACAUAGUCCUUUUUUACGACGAUCAGCAAUUUCUUGUGAAGACAAAUUCCGCACAGUCCUAUCACGCCAAUUUCCAGUGUUGGCAGUAUGUGAUUUGUUUGAUCCGAAACCAGUCAUUCCACGUGAACCACUUGGUUUUCCUACCAGAAAACGAUCACGAUUGUCCUUGUUAUUACGAAUCAUAACCAAAUCACCAUUUCUGCCUUCAUUAUGUGUGACAACUCUGUUGCUGAAAACAGGUUGGGAUAGUGAUCCUUGUGACCUUCGCAAAGUCCAAUCUCUUGGCCCUUCUUCUAAUUCACGUUCUACUGCUCGAGCCACGUUCAUUAACUUCGCUUUUGACAUGGGCCCCAUUGCGAUCAGGCUGCGAACUUUUCCUCUGAUUUUUCCCUUCAAACCAUGAACAAAAUAAACCCAAAUAUUGAUCAUUGGGUAAUAUGGGCAAUUGUGCUACCAACCUCUCAAAAUAUUCAAUGUACUCUUCAAUUGUUCCUUCUUGUUGGAGCGCUGAAAGUUGUUCAAAUACAUUCCCAUCACUCACACCACCAUACCUUUCAAGAAGUGCAUCUUUCAAAUUCUCCCAAGUCAAUGUUUCACUUUCUUCCAACAGCCCCUUGAAAAAAUGAAUUGUAGGGCCAUCCAUACAUAAUUGCGCCAAAUUCACUUUGAUUUCUGGUAUAGUAUUCUGCACAUUGAAAUAGACUUCCGCUCUAGCAAUCCAGCCAGCGGGAUCAUCACCGUUAAACAUUGGUAAUUCAACCUUUUUCACAGAUAGGCGAAAUUCAUCCAAAGCUUCACCAUGUAAGUCAGAAUUAUGCUUUCUGGUACCAAUUGACUCAUUAUGAUGCGAUGUUUCUCCAACAUUCUUCUCCUUACUUGAAUUUAAUAAGGAAAUGAUCUUCUCCUGGUUAUCUUUAUUUUGAUUCUGCAUUUCAUGUGAAGAUACCUCCAAAUUUCUGUACGAACAGUGUUCGCAUGAACAGUACACGCGUGAACAGUAAAUGCGUGUACAGUGCAUCAAUUUCUGUUUGUAGAACAGAAUUAUAGAGUAGGAGAGAUUGCAGAUAACCUGCGAUUUUUCAUAGAUAAUAACAAAGGGAAUACAAUCUGAAAACACAGUAAAACACAAUCUGAAAACCACAAGAGCAGUUUGUUCUCUCAGAAGAUAACUUCUUCUGGCCUAGGUAACUACCACAUAAAACUUCCAACGUAAAAACUAACAAUAAAACAACAGACUAACUUAAAUACAAUCCACACAACAACCAAUAACCAACUUGGAAUUCAAACUCACUAAUAUUAUAUUACUUAAUUACUUUUUUCUCCUUUGAUAAACCCUCCAAAUGACAGGUUUACCCUUCUCCCUAACAUGUAUGCUAUCA